AGGAUGAACGCUGGCGGUCUGCUUAACACAUGCAAGUCGAACGGAGUACCUCGGUACUUAGUGGCGGACGGGUGAGUAACGCGUGAGAAUCUGCCCUUAGGUCGGGGACAACCAUUGGAAACGAUGGCUAAUACCGGAUAAGCCGAGAGGUAAAAGAUUAAUUGCCUAGGGAAGAGCUCGCGUCUGAUUAGCUAGUUGGUGAGGUAAAGGCUCACCAAGGCAUCGAUCAGUAGCUGGUCUGAGAGGAUGAUCAGCCACACUGGGACUGAGACACGGCCCAGGCUCCUACGGGAGGCAGCAGUGGGGAAUUUUCCGCAAUGGGCGAAAGCCUGACGGAGCAAGACCGCGUGAGGGAGGAAGGCUCUUGGGUUGUAAACCUCUUUUCUUGGGGAAGAACAAAAUGACGGUACCCAAGGAAUCAGCAUCGGCUAACUCCGUGCCAGCAGCCGC
rnacentral:rRNA from 1 species